rnacentral:rRNA from 1 species
AACGAACGUUGGCGGUGUGCCUAAUACAUGCGAGUCGAGCGAGAAAGCCGGGGCAACUCGGCGAGUACAGCGGCGGAAGGGUGCGUAAUACAUGGAUAACGUACCCUCUAGUUGGGGAUAACCCUCCGAAAGGUGGGCUAAUACCGAAUAAAGGCAGCGGGUGGCAUCAUCUGCUGCUUAAAGACGCAAGUCGCUAGAGGAGCGGUCCAUGGCCUAUCAGCUAGUUGGCGGGGAACGGCCC